rnacentral:rRNA from 1 species
GACGAACGCUGGCGGCGUGCUUAACACAUGCAAGUCGAACGGAAAGGCCCUGCUUUUGUGGGGUGCUCGAGUGGCGAACGGGUGAGUAACACGUGAGUAACCUGCCCUUGACUUUGGGAUAACUUCAGGAAACUGGGGCUAAUAACGGAUAGGAGCUCCUGCUGCAUGGGGGGGGUUGGAAAGUUUCGGCGGUUGGGGAUGGACUCGCGGCUUAUCAGCUUGUUGGUGGGGUAGUGGCUUACCAAGGCUUUGACGGGUAGCCGGCCUGAGAGGGUGACCGGCCACAUUGGGACUGAGAUACGGCCCAGACUCCUACGGGAGGCAGCAGUGGGGAAUAUUGCACAAUGGGCGGAAGCCUGAUGCAGCAACGCCGCGUGCGGGAUGACGGCCUUCGGGUUGUAAACCGCUUUCGCCUGUGACGAAGCGUGAGUGACGGUAAUGGGUAAAGAAGCACCGGCUAACUACGUG